CACACACACAGAGCAGAGUUAGAUCCCAAAGCCACACAUUUCUCUUCAUCACUGAAAGGAUUUCGGAAGUAAAGGAGGCUCGCGCGCUUUCACACUAAAACCACUGGAUCAAAAUCUGGAGAUGUACACUGACUUUUUUUUUUUUUUUUUUUUUUUGUUGUGUGUGUGUGUGUGUUGUGUGUGUGUGUGUGGUGUGUGUGUGUAUCAAACUGAACAAUGUGGGAUAGGUGUGGAAAAAACCAGCACAGAUGACAUGAGAUCCACAUAAAAACCUCUUCCUCUUCAUCAUUUAAGCCUCUGACAUACCUUAAGGCAGGAAUCCCAAAUGCACUACAUGUGCUCACUACAUAAGGAUUGAUCCUGGUCAGAGUUGCAGUGGAUCUGGAGUCUACCCAAACUGGGCAUGAAGGAAGGAAUACACCCUGACUGGGAUGCCAGAACAUCACUCGCCACCAUUCACACACUCAUUCACACAUGGGGGCAUUUUAAGUUUUAGGUCGCCAGUGUUUUUUCAAAAGUCGAAGGAAACCAGAGAACCCAGAAGAAAUCCACAUGGGUCUGGGGAGAACAUGUACAGUUGGGUCCAUAAGUAUUUGGACAGGGACACAGUUUUUGUCAUUUUGCGUCUGCGCACCACCACAAUGAAUUUGUAAAGCCUGCCUGCCC
ensembl:lncRNA